CUGGGCGAAAGGGUGAGACUCUCUCUCAAAAAAAGAAAAAGACUCAGAGGAGACCAAGGGCCUCUCUGAAGGACACGGUGUGACCACAUCACAUCCUCAGCACUCUUCCUGUCCCCUUGCACUGUGUUCCCUGCCCGUAGCAUGGAUCUGAAACUUAGGGCCAAUUCUCAGGACAGUAUAGGGAAGGCAUGGGUAGGAGCCCUGAGAUGCCAAGGACGAGGUGCCGUCAGCUGGAGUCACUCCCACAAGCUUAGCCUUCAGAGGUUUCCUCUCAGUGUCUGCAAAGAACUCCAGUUUUCCUUAAAUAGUUUCAUUUUGCCUAAUUAUCCUCCAGCCGCAAAGCGAAUAAGAGGCAUGAGGGAUUAAGGAGAAUCAAGAGGAACAGGCAUUAGGGCUGUGAGCUGGAAGUGGGGAGGAUGGGGAAGCCAGGGCAAUUGGAGAGUCGGGUCAAAGCAUAUACAAGUUGCACUCCGUUUGAGAAACAGUAUGUCAGAGUGGCUAAGAGAGUAGGCUCUGCACUCAGACUGACCUGGGUUUGAGAUCCAUAUGGCCACUGGCUAACUCAGGGACCUUGGGCAAGUUCCUUGACCUCUCUGAGCCUUAUUCCACAUUUGUAACUUCAGAAUAAUGAUGUCUACUCCAAACAUGGAUUGUCAGGAUUUACUGAGAGAAUGGCACCAUGCCUGGCUCUCAGUAAGGCUCAAUAAACAAUAAUGAUUAUGCACAGAGGUCAGAGAGGGUAGAGGAACUUGGAAAGUUAUAAAAAGGCUCAAAAUCCCUGAGUUUGAUUCUAAAUGUCUUUGCAAUCUAGUCCAGGAAGGCAGGGUCAUGUCUGUCUUGUGACUACUGCACUGGUCCCAGCAACCAGCAAAGUUCCUGCCUAUUGGAGGGCCUGCCUGGCUCCUGAUUGAAAGGAAGAAUCAAUGAGUGGGUGAGUGAAUGAAGGGCAACAGCCUUCCUUCUUUGCAGCUGCAGAGGCUGGGCAGUUAUUGGGCCAUGCAGGACUCAAUCAGUCUGCCCUUUCUUGUUUUCUGGUGCCCUCCAGCCUUGACGCCAUGUUUAGACCAUUGAUAUUCACAGAAUAAUUUCCAGCAUUGAUUACUCAGAUGGAACACCCUCCCUCCCAAGCUCCGCCGCCUUCCUCAGUCUUCCCCACCACAGGCGACUCCACCGAGUUUCCUGAUUAAUUCCCCUCCAUAAACAUUCUGAUGAAGCCGCCAGCUCUCGCCAGGCAGCCUCCCAGAGCAAGGAUUAUUUCACAAAGCUGCUUUUCUCUUUGUGACCUGUGUUCAUUAGCUGCUGCAAGGGUCACAGUCUGGGCUGCUUCAGUGGGGCCACCUCUGGGCAGGCAGUUCCCCUAGAGGAGAAGCUCUUCCCAGCCUGCCCAGGGUGGAGAAGGUCACCCCUGCCCAGACCCAGUGGCCUGGAAGCCGUGGGAAGUAGCACAUUCCUGGCAAGGGAAGAGAUGCUCUCAGUGGAGAAAAUACUAGGUGGAGGCGCAUGACACUUCUGAUAUUCAGCCAUUUGCUGACCCAUGAAAAUGGCAAUUCAAUUUAAUAGGACCCUCUGUGGUUGAGCCUAGAGAGAGGGAGGGGAAAAAGGAGUGAGGGGUCUGGAGUCAGAAACACAGGCAGUCCUGCUCUGUGUCUUCUCAGCUGUGUGGCUUGAGGAAUGUGGCCUCAUCCCUCUGGGCUGACUUGUCAAGUGUUGAUAGCCACAGCACCGCCUUGCAGGGGGGUGUGUAGUUUCAGUGCAAUCAUUACAUCACAGCCUGCUUCCGUGGCUGCUGCAACAUCCCUGUGCCCUCAACAGCAGCUAUUUUAGCAAUAACGAGUGAGUUGGGGGCACUGGGAUAGUGCAGCUGCCCACUGACUGGCUCCCCAGGUGCCUACCUUCACUUCUUCGGAGUCACUUCUCUGGCAAAGGCACCCAGGGGGUCCAGGAGACCUUGGACACAAUGGAUUUUAGUGGCAACCAGAGAGGUCCUCUAUAGCCCACUUCCAUGAGUGGAUAAACAUGGUGCCUGGCACAGACGGGAUCCUCAACAAACUGAAAUGAAUGAGACAAGUGUAUCAGCUGAUGUCUUAGAACACAGAAUUCAGCUUUGAGAAGUAAAAGAUACAAAAAAAGUCAUAGGAGGUUGGAGAGUGGGCAUGGUGGGAGAGCAGCAGCCAGCUCCUGGGGGUGGGUUAGCAGGUGCUUUUAUGGGGCCCUGGAAGUCACUGGCACUUUGAGCCUAAGGGUGUGGCGAGUGUCUGGGGAGCUGUCCGUGGUGCUGAAGCACAACCACUGGUGAGGGCAGCUGUCCUUUCAGUGCCUGUGCUCAGCGGAAGCCUGUCCCACUCCUUCAGGAAUUCUGAGUCCAGAAAGGAAAGAAGCAGUGGAAAGGGAGGCAGAGAGUGAGAGGUGAGGCCUGCACAAAAGGUUAUUCGUCAGACAAUCACUGCCAGACUGGAGGAAGCACUUUUGUUUUCACAUUAUUGCAGUCACCAAACACUAAUUCCCUCAUGAGGGAAACAUCGGCAUCUCUCCCACCAACAUGCUCCGAAUGCCAUCCUUUUUUCAUUGCUGUGUAGUAUUCCAUCACAUGAACUAUACAUAACUACCACAAUUUGUUAACUCAUUCUAUUUUUUUUUUUUUGACAGACUCUUGCUCUCACUCAGGCUGGAGUGCAGUGGCACGAUCACCGCUCACUGUAGCCUCAACUUCCUAGGCUCAUGUGAUCCCUCUGCCUCAGCCUCCUGUGUAGCUGGGGCACAGGCAUGUACCAUCAUGCCCAGCUAAUUUUUUUUUUGUAGAGAUGGGGUCUCCUUAUGUUUUCCUGGCUAGUCAUGAACCCCUGGGCUCAAGCAGUCCUCCUGCCUUGGCCUCUCAAGAUGCUGAGAUUACAGGUAUGAGCCACUGCACCUGGCCCCAAUGCCAUCAUUAUGGCAAAAGUCAAAUCAAUCUUGUGUCUCCAAAUUUGUGAUGUGCACCCACCCUCAUUCCUCUUGUCUGGAACCUCUCUGCAGGUCACUGCCCACUGCUCCUUCCAGCUCCAGGCCUUUUGCCCUUCCUACUUUCCAUCAUCUCAUCUGACCCAUCCUUUAGAGCCUGUCUCCAGAUUCUCCUCUUCCAGGAAGCCUCCCUUGACCACUUCAGCCCACUCUGCCUUCUUGCUCCUCUGACCACCUACUGAACUUGGAGCCAAGUUUAGCAAGCGCUGCUUUUCAAGAUAUUCUCCAUAAGUGCUCUCUUUCUCCCCACUCAGUUGUGAGCUCUCAGGGGACCCAGUUCUUGCUUCUUUUACCUCCUUCCAGCAGAGCCAAGCCUGAAUUCUGCAUGAAUAUCAACAUCAGCAGCAGUGGCAUCAGCCACUGUGAAUGAGCACUAAGGCUGUGUUGGGGCUGUGCUGCACUUCCUGUGCUUUAUCUCACUGAAAACCCAUGGUAACUCUGUGAAAGCAGAUCCUAUGAUUACCACCAUUAUAAUAGGAGGCUCAGAGGGACGAGGUAACUUGCCUAAAGCCAUACAUGCAUGAGGGCUAGGGUUCAAGCAAAGGUCUGCCUGACCUCAGGGUCUAGUUCUUAACCAGCAGUCCAUCUGAUUCAUAGCAGUGACCCAUAAUGGCAACACACAUUCUGAAACCAGUCCCGCUCUGCUGUUUACUUAUGUUGAGGCUGUACGCCUAAAGAACCAGCGCUAGAAGAAUUGGGGAUAGGAAGAUUUUUUUUUUUAAAAUCAGUACAGAGCAGAGAGCACUGCAUUAUUUUUCUGCCUCUAAGAACAUUCUCAUUACUUACAAAUUACAUUAAUUUCUACAAACACUUAUUGACACCCACUGCCUGCUGUGCACCCUGCGUUAUGAUGAGUACUGGAUUAGACAGUCAUAAAUAAAACACACACUGGCACAGUCAGUCUGUGAUAGAAGCUUUUAGAGAGAGAAUUAGAAAAGGGCUCUGUGGCUCAGCCCCAUCCUGGGGGCCCAGCCAAUAGAUGGCACCAGCUUCUAUGCUUUUAGAAAGACCCUGGAGUGUCCAGAACACCGCUCAGACUCCUGCAGAGACAUGAGGAACAUGUGGGGCUGGGGCUCUGGAAUUUUCAGGAGACAGUGAAUCUUAGACACCUCUUACCUCUUGGCUGCUUUGCUUUGUCAGGUGGUUGGAUAACAUCAGAUUGCCCAGGAAGCCAAACUGACCCACAGGAUGGGUUUCUGUGUAUGUGUGUGUGUGUGUGUGUGUAUGUGUGUACAUGUGUGCGUGUGUAGGGGGGUGAGGGGUGCACAUGCAUGCCUAUACAUUUCUGCAUUCCUUCUCAAUUGGAAAUAUAUCAAUGCUGACAAGGAACAAGGGUAGAAGCAUGAUAUAAUCACAAGGUUGCUGGAACAUGGGUGCAUGGUGGGGAAAAUAAGUGAAAAUCAAUUUUCCCCUGGAUCUGUGUGUGUGCGUGCAUGUGUGUGUGUGUAUAAAACUCCAGCCAGUGAGACAAUGUUCACUCCUCUGAACAGCACUCAACGCUAAUGCUGGGCAGAGCAGGGGCUUUCUGGGGAGCUCUUGGAAUUGCAAGAUUGGGAUGAACAGGGAUGGGAAGAAAGAUUUAUGAAAGGCCUGGUCAAGUUCUUUCCCCCUCCAGUCCCCAGAGAGGUCCCUCUGGGCAGCUUCUUGGUUUCAACUGGUCUCAUCUUGGCCUGUACCAAGUAGCAGCCCCUCUGCUCUGAGACCCCCCCCUCCCACCCUCCUGAGCUCCACCCUGCAUCCUCUUCCCUACAUCUUUCCCAGAGGGGCUGUCAUCGUGUCAAAAAGCCCAGUGAUUUUAAAAGAAACUUUCUCUCCUUGUGCUUUGAUUCUGCCGCGGUUUCCCCCGGUCUGCUAGAGAACAAAGGGCAUGAUUGAGUGGAAAUGCGCCCCCAGCGUCUGCCUUGAUUCCAGGCUCCUGUUGCUGGAGAGAAUUUUGAUCUCUGGUGUAGUGGCUUCCUCUUCUCCCUGCUGUGAGGGAAGAGUCAACGUCCCCAUGUGCUUCCUCUUUGUAGGCAUUGGCUCGGCUCACUCCCACGUUUGAGAGUCAGCCAGCUGUUGGCUGGGAUGACUCGGGUGACUUGGUUCUGCUCCAUGUCUCUUUCAUCUUCCAUCAGGUUAGCCUGGGUGUAUUAUCC
rnacentral:lncRNA from 10 species